GCGGACGCGAGUCCGAAGGAUUUUGCGCUGAGUGCAAGGCGGCAACCGAGACGGGGUGAAGGAGCAUACUGAGGUAUGUGACUGAGCGUCGCGAGGGAAGCCAGCGCGGCAGCAGCGUGAAAGACGCAGGACGGAGCACAAAGAAUUUGCCUGGCGGCCUUAGCGCGGUGGUCCCACCUGACCCCAUGCCGAACUCAGAAGUGAAACGCCGUAGCGCCGAUGGUAGUGUGGGGUCUCCCCAUGCGAGAGUAGGGAACUGCCAGGC
rnacentral:rRNA from 1 species